rnacentral:lncRNA from 1 species
AGAAAAGCAGGAGAAAGAAAGGGCAAGGUCAUUGAUGCUAGAGAAGAGCCGGAGGGAUGGAACUCUACUGAAGGACAAGGGUUUCCAGAGGAGGUGACGCUGCAAAUUUUGCUCGGUUUAGACUUUUGAUCGUACUUAUAUGUAGAGCUUGCCUUAUGGCUGAUUGGGAGAGUUGGUUUGGCAAGAUUUGGAUUCUAAGGCCCUGUUUUCAGAGGUUUCCGCCCCCCUUGUGCAGUUCUCCAAUCUACAGUUGCCUUGCGAAAUAGGCUCCCGUCGAGAUGCGAACGCUUCACUUAAGAUUCUGUUCGAGAAAGAAUGGACUGGUUCGCCUGUCCUUUUCAAAUCCUGGAGACGAUCAAUGGAUAAUCACAGCUUGUAAAUGUCUAUUCCUUUUUAGUUUGGCUUUCUUGGUCAUUAUUGCAUUAUAUUGGAAUGAUAUCACUUCGAUCCUUCUGCAAGUUACUCCAGUUCAUGUCAUUGUCCAUGACUUCAUCAUAUUGACCCGUGAAUUCCUGGGUCAAAGUAAUGAAAAGAGUUGUUGAGCCAUCGCGCCUCGAGUACUUUUCUUUGCUGGGUUAAUUCCAGUUCUUAACUUCAUCAUCCAUCUUACUAAGCACAUUGUACAAACUAGAUUCCCAAUAACAUUGCAGAGAUCCGUUUCAAUCUAUUUCAUCCUGUAACUCCCACAAUUUCUGAUACACUGUCUGUGCAAGUCAGGGCUGAGAUUUAUUUGGUUACGAUGGGAUGGCGACUGAACUUACUUGGAAACUAAAAGUUAUGUCUGCAUUUUUCCGAUGCGUAAGCUAUAAUACAAUAUUCUUACUAGCAAUUUCUUAAUGAGAAGGGGACAAAGAAGGUUGUUUCAGAUAAGAUUCGAAGAAAAGCAUGGUAUUCUCAGAGUCACAAACAGCAUGCGAGGGACGUAGGUGUCGUUCUUGGUACCUGCAGCGAUCCUAAUUGGCCCCAAAGGUGCCGCCCGUCUCUUUUUUUAUGGCAGGCUUAGCUCACGCGAGAGGUUAAAGUGAAGAAGACCGAAUCUGCAAUAGCUCAUUGUCGUUGUUUAAUGAAUAUUUAACGAGAGAUGAACCAUGCCAUGACGAUCUCUUGAAAGCUAACUUGCCUAAUCUGAAUAGAUUAAUCCCCGUCUCCUCCAGUCAGGCAAGGGCUUCUCGUUGUUUAAAUGGAGUCAAAGAUAAUAGCGGGCAGAAAUGAAAUUGGGUCGUUUGCGUGUUCUAGGCUGGAACAACAACAUUGUUAGGUAUAAACGGUAUGUGCGACUCAUAGACGAGUUGGUUCUUCCAUAGCCAAUGAUGGAGGCUUGAAGAGAAGGGCAGGAAACUGGGGAAGCACAGAGCAUAGGAUUGCCGCUUGAUAGACGAAUGAAGAAACUCCCGCGGCAAUGUCUACUGAAUUACGAGAACUUGACGCUUCCUCCGGUAGGUAACAGCGGAAGAUCAUGCCGCUGUUUUGUUCUGAACAUGUUCCUUUUUUGGGUUUUGUUCUUUACCGUUUUCGUUCUAUUCAUCUUCAGGCAAUCCUUUUCCUUAUUCUUGUUUUUGCUUUUCGAAUCAGAUUUGAAUGAUCGAUUAUUGCAAAUUCCUUGUGCUUAGUUUCAGGUAGUAGUGAUGACAGCCAACGUGGGAUGUGCUCGUUGCCGGGAGAGAGUCUCGCAAGUCAUUUCAAGGAUGGACGGUGAGAUCCUUAUCCUCGCUUUCAUAGCAUAAUUUUACAGCAGAAGUGAACAUCAUCAAAAGAAAUUCAUGAGUGAGAAUCUGCUCUCGACACAGUCGUCUUCAUGACGUUAAAUGCAACAUUUAGAGUUUGACGAUCAUCUAGAGCGUACAAAUUGAUUCAUUGCAGUAAUGCUCUCGAACAGGUUAUAUCUGAUUGGGAAAAAUAUAGAAAGAUCAAGCUCCCCAGAUUUGCCUUUUAUUAGAUUUCUGUCGAGAUGAAUUAGUAAUGCCCACUGCCUGUUGAUUAGUCAUAUCAUAUAACCUGCGGCAAGUGUCGAGAGUGGAAAUUUAUGGAGCCCGCGUGGUGAUUUGCAGGAGUGCGUGAAUACACAGUAGAUAUUCGAAAUGAACGAGUGAUCGUAAAGGGGGAUUUCAAGGUCGAAAGGGAGGUCCCAGAUGAAUCGGCCGACCUCCAAAUCAAGAAAGAGGAAGAACAUCAACUCCGCCUCCUCUUCAGAUACUUCAGAACCAGUUGCUUAGGCAAAUACUUUGGCCAUUGAACGUAAUUUCAAUUCGUGCGUAUUACUGUAUGGUAGCAAAUUGAAUUGUUUGCAGGUCGCGGUUUGUAUAUAUCAAGUGAAACGCUGUCCAGCCGAGACUUUCUCCUCAAAACAGAGCAAUGCACAUUCUAGGUGGCAAAUGCCAAUUCUCUACCGCAAAUUAACGCCAAGUUUCGAGUUCCAGUUUAGUCCUUCAAGAUUAGUCCUUUCCACUCUCCAAUUCAAUGCAUUUCCAUUUCGAACGAGGACCCGCGCACGAAAUUCACUGAAAUUACGACUAUGCAUGGAGAAAAGCAGAGAUAGCCCCCAUAGUUGAUCCGCUUCGAAUCUCCCUGCUCGACUGAAAUACCAUCUUUGCUUUUUCCAGAGCAAAUCCCAAUAUCCGUUGCAAACAAGAUGGAAAACACCCAAAUGACCACUAACUCAGUUUGUCAGAUAUCUCCGAUUUUCAUCGAAGAAAAACAUCGUCUGUGAAAGGCUUUACAAAAAGACAGGACUCAGUAACUCGUCAAGAAGCGAAGCAAGCGGAAGAGCCACGCAUCCUCUUGCUUCUCUAUCUAUUAUUGUCUAAAGAGUCAUCUCUGGAAACACCAGACAGAAAUUACUGCUAGAGAAAAAGGGAAAACUAGCACCUUCACCCCCCAAGGAAGUCCCUUCCUACAAUUGAUUUAAGUUACAAUAUCCUUGCUUCACCUUGGGGACCACCACCUUCAGCACGCCAUUCUCCAUCACCGCCUUGAUCUCCCCGAGCUUGUACGGGUACGGCGGCAGAUUCAGCCUGCUGGAGUACCUCCUCCUGCUCUCCUCCGACUCCUUCUCGCCCUCGCCCUUGAUCGUCAGGGUGUUCUGCUCCACCGAGACCUUCACAUCCUCCCUGCCCAGGCCGGGCAUGUCCAGCCGGAGGAUGAGGACGCUGUCGUCCUCCUUCACGUCCCAGCCCCUCCUCCAUCCGGCAGCCCCCAUGCCCAUGAACUGGUCCAUCUGGUUCAGCACCUGGCUCAGGCUCCGAGUCGGCCACAACAGAUCAGACACAUCUGUCGGCCGAUCAGCAAUAUUGUAUAUACAUGAGAAUGCUUCACUAAACAGAACUACAUCAAAGGGAAAGCGACCUCAUAGAACGAUCAAUGCUCGAUCAUCGAAUACGUAAAGCCACUAGGCUAGCGUAGGGAAUGCCAUUCACACACAAAGGAAACAGAUCGGCAAUCAACACAUGUGUCGAACGAUCGGCAAUCCAAUAUUCAUGAGAACGCUUCACAAAGCAGAACUACAUCAGACAGAAAGCGAUCUCGUGAAACAAUCAAAUGCUCGAUCAUCGAAUACGUAAGUGCUACUAGGCUAGCGCAGAAACGUCACUUAUGAACAGAGAAAACAGAGGGGCAAUCAACCAGCUGAGGACCUCAUCAUUGCGACAGACAGCGAUCCUAAACACCAGGAAAACGAGUGCUAAGAUAACAACAAGCCUGAAAACAGACCAAGGUCCUGGUCCUGGUAGCGGGGGGCGGUGGGGCGAUCGGAGCCGCCCUCGACCUCGACCUCGACACGGCUCUUGACCUCGACGCUGUCGUCUUCAUCGUAACACCGCACCCGAGAGCUGGUUUUGAUGGAGCGAGCAACGUGAGGGGCGACGGAGGCGGCGCGGAGCGGGUUGCUCAGCCUGGACAGGAGGCCCGACGAGGCGGCCGCGGUGGCGGUGGCGGUGGCGGUGGCGGUGGCGGUGGCGGUGGCGGCGGCAGCCCUCCGGAGAGCGAGCGAAGACGCCAUCCUUUGUCGAUCGCGCUUGGAGCUUGCAGGAGAAUUUCGAGAGUGAGCUACCGACUGGCGUUCGACGAGUAGCGAAGCUUUCUUGAUUCGGUUGGGAGGGGCUUGGGGACGUUUAAAUAGGAGGAGGGCGAUUGCUUGGGGAAGGGGAAAAGACAGAGACAGAGAGAGCGCGCCAUUGUUGGCUGUCUGGAAUCCAAAUCGCAUCUGAUAUUUUUGUUAAUCCGUUCGCCACGGGAUUUAGCAAUCCGUGGACUGAUCCACGACGAUUCGAUCGAAUGGAAAUCGGGCCCCGCCAAGUACUGCCAUUCAUGGACUUAUCGGGUUGACCUGUGUCUCUUACCUUAAUUAUACACGUGUCGAACGAUGAAUAGAUUGUUUUAUAUUUUCUCGUCAUUUGAAUUUUUCUUUUACGAUGACUAUAUGUUGGUAAGAUUUUAAGAUUCGAAUCUAAAUCUUAAGAACCAUGUGGACUGAAAAUAAUAUUAAAGAAUGUAUUUUGAAAGGAUCUUAGUUUCCACCAAAAAAUUUUAUUUUAAAAAUAUAUAUGUGAAUAAAAAGAAUAUGCAAACUCAUGUUGCUAACUAGGGAUAAGGAUGGUCCGGGUUAGGCCGGUCCACCCUCUAACUCUAUGACUAAUCCGUACAGUACUGGUCCUCAAUUUUUAGGACCGAGAACCGACUCUAUUGAGCUUAUUGGGUCGGUCCGAUCAAUCGACAAUUUUUUAUUUCAUUUUUGUAUUCCUUAAAAAAACAAUUGAAGACCGGACUGACCCAAUGGGUUCGGUUCGGUUUCAAAGUCAACCCAAGACCAAUCAAUAAUUUUUUAUUUCAUUUUUUGUACUUCUUGAAAAGGCAACCGAGAAUCGUACUGACCCAAUAGAUUUGAUGAUGAGCAAACUCUAAGGAAGGCAAGCGGUGAGGAUCAAGUGGGGUGAGCGUCAAAUAAAAUGAGCAUCGAAUGUCGAGCGAGAAGCAACAAGCCAAGCAAGCAUUAAGCGGCAAGCGGCACGAGUAACUCAAAGCGAACAAUGCGAGUGUCAAGUGGCGAUCUUUCGAUUUUGGCAAAUUGAAGACGAAGAUGACAAAUAAGAUAGAAGAGAACCAAUAUUAGAGAAGGAUGCAUAAGGUGCAUUUUUUAACGUCGUGAGGACUCCUCACAAAAACAUUUUAUUUAGUAAAUUAUGACUAUUGACGUCGUAAAAGAUAUUAAAAACCUAAAUUGUUAUUUAAAAUUACUUGAAUUCCUCACUAAAAAGCUGUUUAAUGUUAUUGAUGCCGUUUAUUUUAAGAUUUUCUCUAUAUAAAAAAAUAAUAUUAUAUAUAUAGAGUCGAGGUUGGUUCGGAUUAAGGACCAACUAGUACAGUGCUGGUCCAAGAAUUCUAGGACCAAGGACCAACCCAAUCUUCCUAGGAACCGGACAGGAGUGGUAGGGUUGGGCCAAUCCAGGGUCGGUCCAGGGUUGACCCUGAAUCAAUGCUCACCCCUAUUGCUAACAUAAACUUUUUGGUCAUGUAACAAUUUCUUCAUAUUUCAAUUUCUUUCAAGAUUCAAUAGAAUCAAGGGCAAUUUUAACGUGCCGUGCGUGACAAAAUUUUUAAUGGAUUUGAUUAUGUUGGCCAAUUGAGUGGUAAUUGUUGGAACAUAGUUAUAUCGCUAAAAAUAUACUGCUCCAUAUCAAAGCCAUUUAACAAACUGAUAUAUGAAAAGUUUAUUUGAACGUGCGCAUCAAUUCAUUGAAGGGUGGUCGAUAUUGCAAAGAACUCCACCGGUUUAUCGGGCCAAGACACGAGGCAGUGAGCGGCUAGUGUUCGGAUAACGAGGUACGAGCGUGUGCAAUAUUUUCUUCUACUUUCGAUGCGAAGAAGACCAUCUGUCAGUUACCCAGCGGAGCUGGCACCAACAUGGAAUGGCCACGAAACCUUCAGCUGUCCAUUCUCCUCAGAGGAACUGAGAAGGUUGCAGAGACUUCAGGCAAAGACCAAAAGUCCAAGUCUCCUCCCCCAAGUGUUCCCUAUUUUAACCCCCCCUUCUUCCCCGCAUCCUCCACCUGCGUCCUCUGUUUCUUCUCCGUGUUUCCUCGGAAGUUCCCUUCUCGUUCCCUUUUGAGGUUUAGUUGGUUUCUGGGUUUUUUUUUGCCUGCGACCAUCUAGUAAUCGCUGGUUAAUCAUAUUGCGAUGCGGUUUUUCCAUGAUGACUUGUGUCGUCAAUUCUUCACAGCUCAUCAGAGACCUAAACCAUAGAAGAGGUCCAGGUGCAGGAAAAGACUUAACUAUUUCGAGUGUGUUAGGUAAUUUUUCAUCUUCAGAAAUAAUUUUUAUUUAUUUUUAUUAUUUAUAUUUUCGAACGAAAAAUAAUUUUUUUUUUAUUUCAAAUAUAUUCUCUACUCAGUUUUUAUUUCAGAGAGUAUUUCAGAGAGUAGAAAAUUUAGGUAAUAUUAUCAGACGGAUUUUUGUAUUUUUUUUUUUUCUGAUUUGGAGAACAAAAGAACAGAAAAAUAGACCCAAACAAACCUUUGACACCAAUCCGAGACCUAAUUCUGCAGGUUCUGGGAGGAUUCAUUGCUGAUUUUCGGGUUUGGAACUGAAUCGAAUUCUUUGCGUUAAGGAAUUUCCUUUUAGCUUUUACAUUGUGUGUCCAAAGUCAAGAAUUUAACUUUGGGCGCCACGUAAAUAACCUUAUUUGGCUCCUAUAGAUAAAGAAGAAACUUUGCUCCUUUUUUUUUUUUUAUUCUCUUUUAUUUCUUCUUUUGUAAACUUUCAUGGAGUCCAACGAAUCUCCGGCUAACCGAAGACAUCCAAGACCUAAAAAGAAUUUUGAAUUUCUUUUCUUGUGCGUAAUCUUGAAUAUUAUCUUUAUCAGAAAAAAUAUCUUCACGAACAACCACGUAAAAAAUUUAACCAAGCGGAUCAUGUUUUGCAAAUACUUAAACUCGAUACAUAAUUUAACAAAACCGAUCGACCCGGUUAGGUGACAUAAUCAUGAUGUCACCGGCACGUGCCCUCCGCGUGUACGGGCAACCGCCAAUUGAGCUGGCAUGUGUGACUCGUGCACGGGGCGAUUACCUUGCACGUGGCUCGCGCACGCUAGAGAUUGCCAACGCAAAUCGCCUCGACGCGUGUGAGGCCAUUUCUUCUUGCCAUGCGUGGCACUGCGUCCAACGGCUCCUAACAGCAAGCCACUCAUCAUUUUUCUUGUCUCGACGAGAACUACGACCCUACACUAUCAUAAACGAGUUUUGAUUCACUAAAAAUCAAAAAGGGGGACGAACGGUAUGGGAUGUUGGGAUUUCUGUCGCCGAGCGUCCGACGGCGGCGUUUCUCGAAAUUUCAACCAAAAGCAAUUUAUAAAUAUCAACAAUGAUCGGGAAUAUGAACAGCAUCACUCUGAUACCAAUGUAGGGAAACAUAUUCCUAAAAAAAUCCUAUACUCAAACGAUCGAAUAUCAUAAACAAACGUGGAAACGUGCCCGGAAACAUGUUACACCGAUCUAAGGCAUAUGACGAAGUCGAACAUACCUUAAUUGCCACAGAUUAAGUACCGUCGCAGAUGAGAGAGGUGCGUACUAUUUCAAAAGGAGAAAAAUAAAGAAAUGUAUUUUUCUUUUGAAAAUGCAAUUGUUCAAAUAUCCUCUUCUUUACUUUUUUUUAUUAUUUUAUAUAUUACAGUAACUACACCCUUUUAUGGACCAUUCACUUACGGGCUAGGUUUUGGCCCAACAUGGGCAAAUGGGUUUAAUUUGGCCCAUCAAAUAUAAAACCCGUCAAAUUGAUUGAGCAAGAGAGAAACAAGCACGGGUCAGGUUUAUCAGGAAUUGACUCCCAAUGUUUUGGUAAUUUUUCUCCCUUACAGUUUGGCGAUUGAGAUUGUUUUUUCUUGAUUACUGAUUAGUUGGGUUGCUUCCCCUUUGUAGGGGGGCUUCGAGUUCGAAGGGAUGGAGAGGGAGGGAUGGAGCUCUACUGAAGGACAAUGGAUUCCAGAGGAGGCGAUACUACAAAUUUUGUCAGUUUAGACUUUUGAUCGUACUUAUAUGUAGACCUUGCCUUAUGGCUGAUUGGGAGAGCCAGGACCAUGCUAUUGGGUUGGCAAGAUUUGGAUUCUAAGG